GAUGAUGGAUAUGGGGGUGAAUAUGAUGACCCAAGCUACGAAGCAUAUGAUAACAGUUAUGCCACCCAAACACAGAGUGUGCCUGAAUAUUAUGAUUAUGGUCAUGGAACAAGUGAAGAUGCUUAUGACAGCUACGCACAAGAAGAAUGGGCCACAACCCGUUCCAGCCUAAAGGCACCACCUCCAAGGUCAGCUCGAGGGGGUUACAGGGAACACCCCUAUGGUAGAUAUUGAAGGUCGUCCUCAUCUGUGACCUCAACUGAAAGACAAUUAAUAGCCUGUGGUCUCCACAUAAACAGCAACAAGACAAGGACACACAGGCAAUGGACAGCUAAGCUGCAGAUGUACUGAGAAGUGUUCAGGUACAGAGCACUUCAUUAUGUGCGCGAACAGAAAUGCUUAAACAGAUGAAGCAGCUAUUUGCAUCUGAUAGGAACUAAGUGGGACAUUAAAUUAAUGCCAAACAAGAGACACAUAAGGAGGAUUCCAAUUGAUCAAGGUGAAAAGAGAAGAAAGAAAUCAGCUGGAUUUUUUUCAUACAAGGAAUCUAUAUAGAUAGUGCUGGUUGCGCCAGGAAAAUUUCACUAUUCAGUCUGAAGAACAAAAUGAGGCUAAUAAGACUGGAAAGUUGGCAGAAAUGUAAUGACAAGCAAAUCAAAACACAGCAUUUUGAAAGGUCAAAAUGGGAUGUUACAUCCUUAUUAUCCCAAGAAUAUAAGAGUGUAAUACCAUGGCACUAUUUUCCAGUGAAAAAGAUUUUAAUCAAGAGCUGAAAAUGGAACAACUUUAUUUCUUUCUUCUGACAAAGAUUAUAACAAGGCUGUGAAAUAAAUGUCUUCCUGUUGUAAUCUUCCAAGUGUGGAUCCUACUUGUAUGUCAAACACCUAAACUAUACCAAAGAGUUCAAACCUAUAUUAUGCAUUUCAUCAGUAUCUAUAACUAUAUACAGUGGAUAUCUUUUAGAAUUCAACAUUUGCCUUCUGAAAUCACACAUGCCCAUUUUAGCUGAUGCAUUGCAUCUCUGUUUUACAUUGGCUCCUUCCUCAAGAUAUGGAGACGCUUUAAGGCAAAGAAAUUUACAAUGAAUCCAAUAACUUAGUAACAAACUACUAAACAUAUGAAACUGUCAUGAUCUGAUCUGUCGAGUUUAGUCAUUACACACGUGAAGACUCUUCCUCUAGGACUACAGGUCUGAGGAAACAAAAGGUAAGCUAUAAGAGAAAUGUUACAUUUUUCAACACCUAAACAUACCUUUAAGGUUCCUAUAACCAAGACUAUUCCUAAUUAUUGAGCAAAUGAUGUAAUUAAAAUUAAAGUUAGACACGGGAAAAGCAGAGCUCUUGUUUACUAGCUAAAAACCCUUCUGCUUAUCCAGCCUGAUAUUUGAGAAGUUUGAUACAAUGUGUAGAAUUACAGUUUAGGUGUUAGCAAUGUUAAAAUCUGUUACGCAGAAACAUUAAAUUCUUUCAAACCAUAACCAGCUUUUAAAUAUUGUUAGUGCUAUCGGUAUGGGUGGAUCCUGCUCAAGAUCUGUCAGGUAGAAAUUAAGAGAAGACAAAGUGAUGUUCAUAUAUGUAUUUUCCAGGGAAAUAAGCCUGAAGAAAUUCCAUCUUCAUGAUACUUUCAAAUCAGCAUCUUGCUGAGGAAAGCCAUUUAGCUUUGGUGGCUUGGACGUGACAGCACCAGAAGAUUUUUGGUUUCCCAUGUUUUGGUUUUAAGUGAACAACCACUCUCUGGUACUUGAGCUUCACCUUAGUCAUGCACAUUACUUUGUCCUCUCUGAUUGCCCUGCCAUAGUUCAGUGAUAAGGAGCGGGGGAGAUCAGGUGACUUGAUCCAAAAAUUUUUUCCAGGCCUUGAGUACAAAAAGUAUUUGUUUUUUUUUCCUUUCCUUGUUGAUUUCCUUUUCCACUAGAGACUGCAGAUACAUAUGUCAUCCUUUGUUUUCAGCUAUAAGGUAGAAUAGUUUUUCAGUGUACUCACAAUCUGCAACAUAUUUUGAAACUUCAAAGAUUUUGCAAAACUACACAUAAAAAAUCCUUAAUGGUUGUUCAUUUCAUAAGUAUCUAUAGAAAUUAAUGUUUUCUUAGUGUCUAGAAAAAUUCCACAAACGGCAAUUUAAUGUAUUAUGUCUGGUUCUUUGUAACUUAACAUAAUUUGUUAGUUAUGAAACUAAAAUUGCUGUACUGAACUCUCCUCUGUA